UAGACUGGAGGUAUGAAGAAAAACAUUUUGGGCUCAAUUUGAGCCUAAGGCCUAGCGUGAAAAUACCACAAAGAAGGAGCCAAAGGCUCACUUAUUUCAUCUUUCUCCCGUGUUCUCUCUCUCUCCUCUCAAACAUCACGCUAAAAAACUUCGCACACUUCCGCCGCGCCUAACCUUCGCCGAUGAUGAUGGAACACAUGAACACCAGCAACCUCACCUACUUCAUCUCUAAACGAAUCCAACGACACCUAAUCUCCACUCUGACGCGAACCGAAUCUCAAGUCGAACGAGACCUAGCAACCGACAGGAAAAUGGAAAGAAAGGAAGGCAAGGAGAAUCGAAGACAUUACUCUGAAUCGCAAUCCAAAUUCAGGGCUUGGAUUUGAAUUUGUUUCCGUUGUGCAUCGAUCUCCAUUUGCUGUUUAGAUUUGUAGUGGUUGAUGUGGAGUUGUUACGAUGUAUUGAAUCGCAGGGAUUGAAGGAAUCGCGGGGAAAAAGGAUUCGAAGGUUUAGCAGGUUGCGUUCUUUCAGAAAGGUUAAAGAGGUUGAUGAGGAGCGGCGGUGGUUGAGGAGAGGUUGAUGAAGCGCGGCGGUGGUUGAAAGGAUGUAGACGGUGGCGCGACGACAGAAGAAAGGAUGUUGAUGGUGGCACGACGGAGGGAGAAAGGAUGUGGAUUGUGGUGUAUUGAAUCACAAGAUUAAGGUAAUUUAUGGUGGUGGUUAUGGAGGAUUGAAGAAAAAGUUUGUUAUCAGUGGAAAGAAAAAUGGAAGAGUGAGGAAGAAGAAUUAUGGAAAAAGAAUUGAAGGGGGCCAAAAUUCGUUGCUAAUCAAGGUAUUUAUAGAAUUUGAAGCUUACGUUUCUGGAUAUUUCAAUUUUGUUUUGCCUUUGCUGCAUUCUGCUUGCGUUUCAUUUCUAACUUGAAUGCGUUUUCACUUGCCACUGCGCUUUGGUUGCAACCUUUGUAUUGCUAUGUUGCCGUUGCUUUUCUGUCUUUUUGGCCUUGGCGGUUGCCGUUUUGGAUUGCGUUGCGCGUUUUCGACUGCAGCCUUCAUGUUAUUGUCGUUACCGAUAUGGUGUACUGCAUACUGACUUGCACAUUUUUCCUUUCCAAUUUCUUCUUUUCAUUAUUUCAUUCAAAUGGAUGGAUUACUUGGUUUAUGAACAAAUUGUGAAUUGUAAUGUUAAUGGAUCUAAGUGGAUUAUUGAAAAAUGAAAUUGGAUAUGGUUUAGUA